rnacentral:rRNA from 1 species
ACAGACCGCUGGCGGCAGGCCUAACACAUGCAAGUCGAGCGGAUGAAGAGAGCUUGCUCUCUGAUUCAGCGGCGGACGGGUGAGUAAUGCCUAGGAAUCUGCCUGAUAGUGGGGGACAACGUUUCGAAAGGAACGCUAAUACCGCAUACGUCCUACGGGAGAAAGCAGGGGACCUUCGGGCCUUGCGCUAUCAGAUGAGCCUAGGUCGGAUUAGCUAGUUGGUGAGGUAACGGCUCACCAAGGCUACGAUCCGUAACUGGUCUGAGAGGAUGAUCAGUCACACUGGAACUGAGACACGGUCCAGACUCCUACGGGAGGCAGCAGUGGGGAAUAUUGGACAAUGGGCGAAAGCCUGAUCCANCCAUGCCGCGUGUGUGAAGAAGGUCUUCGGAUUGUAAAGCACUUUAAGUUGGGAGGAAGGGCAUUAACCUAAUAC